rnacentral:rRNA from 1 species
UACGUAGGCAGCAAGCGUUGUUCGGAGUUACUGGGCGUAAAGGGUGCGUAGGCGGCUUUUUAAGUUUGGUGUGAAAUCUCCCGGCUCAACUGGGAGGGUGCGCCGAAUACUGAGAGGCUAGAGUGUGGGAGAGGAAAGUGGAAUUUCCGGUGUAGCGGUGAAAUGCGUAGAUAUCGGAAGGAACACCUGUGGCGAAAGCGGCUCACUGGACCAUUACUGACGCUGAGGCACGAAAGCUAGGGGAGCAAACAGG